AAACCUUCAACAACGGAUCUCUAGGUUCUGGCAUCGAUGAAGAACGCAGCGAAACGCGAUAUGUAGUGUGAAUUGCAGACCUCAGUGAAUCAUUGAAUUUUUGAACGCAUACUGCGCCCGCCUAUAUUCCGGCGGGCAUGCCUGUUCGAGCGUCAUGA
rnacentral:rRNA from 1 species